GUCCACGCCCUAAACGAUGUCAACUAGGUGUUGGGAGGGUAAAACCUUUUAGUACCGGAGCUAACGCGUGAAGUUGACCGCCUGGGGAGUACGGCCGCAAGGUUAAAACUCAAAGGAAUUGACGGGGACCCGCACAAGCGGUGGAUGAUGUGGAUUAAUUCGAUGCAACGCGAAAAACCUUACCUACCCUUGACAUGUCCAGGAGCCUGAAGAGAUUUGGGUGUGCCCGAAAGGGAGCUGGAACACAGGUGCUGCAUGGCUGUCGU
rnacentral:rRNA from 1 species